CCCAUCCACAUUCAGCACAGUAUAUACAGAGUUACUGGAACCCAUCCACAUUCAGCACAGUAUAUACAGAGUUACUGGAACCCAUCCACAUUCAGCACAGUAUCUACAGAGUUACUGGAACCCAUACACAUUCAGCACAGUAUAUACAGAGUUACUGGAACCCAUACACAUUCAGCACAGCAUAUACAGAGUUACAGGAACCCAUACACAUUCAGCACAGUAUAUACAGCGUUACUGGAACCCAUCCACAUUCAGCACAGUAUAUACAGAGUUACUGGAACCCAUCCACAUUCAGCACAGUAUAUACAGAGUUACUGGAACCCAUCCACAUUCAGCACAGAAUAUACAGAGUUACUGGAACCCAUCCACAUUCAGCACAGUAUAUACAGAGUUCCUGGAACCCAUCCACAUUCAACACAGUAUAAACAGAGUUACUGGAACCCAUCCACAUUCAGCACAGUAUAUACAGAGUUACUGGAACCCAUCCACAUUCAGCACAGUAUAUACAGAGUUACUGGAACCCAUCCACAUUCAGCACAGUAUAUACAGAGUUACUGGAACCCAUCCACAUUCAACACAGUAUAAACAGAGUUACUGGAACCCAUCCACAUUCAGCACAGUAUAAACAGAGUUACUGGAACCCAUCCACAUUCAGCACAGUAUAUACAGAGUUACUGGAACCCAUACACAUUCAGUACAGUAUCUACAGCGUAACUGGAAUCCAUGCACAUUCAGCACAGUAUAUACAGAGUUACAGGCACCCAUCCACAUUCAGCACAGUAUAUACAGAGUUACAGGAACCCAUCCACAUUCAGCACAGUAUAUACAGAGUUACUGGAACCCAUCCACAUUCAGCACAGUAUAUACAGAGUUACUGGAACCCAUCCACAUUCAGCACAGUAUAUACAGAGUUACAGGAACCCAUCCACAUUCAGCACAGUAUAUACAGAGUUACUGGAACCCAUCCACAUUCAGCACAGUAUAUACAGAGUUACUGGAACCCAUCCACAUUCAGCACAGUAUAUACAGAGUUACAGGAACCCAUCCACAUUCAGCACAGUAUAUACAGAGUUACAGGAACCCAUCCACAUUCAGCACAGCAUAUACAGAGUUACUGGAACCCAUCCACAUUCAGCACAGCAUAUACAGAGUUACUGGAACCCAUCCACAUUCAGCACAGUAUAUACAGAGUUACUGGAACCCAUCCACAUUCAGCACAGUAUAUACAGAGUUACUGGAACCCAUCCACAUUCAGCACAGUAUAUACAGAGUUACUGGAACCCAUCCACAUUCAGCACAGCAUAUACAGAGUUAC